CGUGGUCCUUCGGUCGACGAUUCCUACGGGAGGCAGCAGUGGGGAAUCUUAGACAAUGGGGGAAACCCUGAUCUAGCCAUGCCGCGUGAGUGAUGAAGGCCUUAGGGUCGUAAAGCUCUUUCGCCAGGGAUGAUAAUGACAGUACCUGGUAAAGAAACCCCGGCUAACUCCGUGCCAGCAGCCGCGGUAAUACGGAGGGGGUUAGCGUUGUUCGGAAUUACUGGGCGUAAAGCGCGCGUAGGCGGAUUAGUCAGUCAGAGGUGAAAUCCCAGGGCUCAACCCUGGAACUGCCUUUGAUACUGCUAGUCUAGAGUUCGAGAGAGGUGAGUGGAAUUCCGAGUGUAGAGGUGAAAUUCGUAGAUAUUCGGAGGAACACCAGUGGCGAAGGCGGCUCACUGGCUCGAUACUGACGCUGAGGUGCGAAAGUGUGGGGAGCAAACAGGAUUAGAUACCCUGGUAGUCCACACCGUAAACGAUGAAUGCCAGUCGUCGGCAAGUAUACUUGUCGGUGACACACCUAACGGAUUAAGCAUUCCGCCUGGGGAGUACGGUCGCAAGAUUAAAACUCAAAUGAAUUGACGG
rnacentral:rRNA from 1 species